AGAUUGAACGCUGGCGGCAGGCCUAACACAUGCAAGUCGAGCGGCAGCACGGGUACUUGUACCUGGUGGCGAGCGGCGGACGGGUGAGUAAUGCCUAGGAAUCUGCCUGGUAGUGGGGGAUAACGCUCGGAAACGGACGCUAAUACCGCAUACGUCCUACGGGAGAAAGCAGGGGACCUUCGGGCCUUGCGCUAUCAGAUGAGCCUAGGUCGAUUAGCUAGUUGGUGGGGUAAUGGCUCGACCAAGGCGACGAUCCGUAACUGGUCUGAGAGGAUGAUCAGUCACACUGGAACUGAGACACGGUCCAGACCUCCGUACGGGAGCAGCAGGUGGGAAUAGUUGGACAAGUGGGACGAAAGCCUAGAUCCGAGCCAUCGGACCGCGUG
rnacentral:rRNA from 1 species